rnacentral:tmRNA from 1 species
GGGGAUGUAUUGGCAUUCGACAGUAUUUAAGAAACACAUGUAGCGAGUAGUGGAUGGCUGCUUUGGCCACUAUAAAAAAGCAGAACUAAAUUUAAACGCUGAUAAUAGAGAAUUAGCAUACGCUGCCUAAGCUUAGGUAGCUCGUCUUUUAUAAAAAGGCCUACGGUUUCAUAAAAGGCGUCGAACAAGUAGGAUAACAAAACUAUUUUAGCUAUUAAAAUAGUGGGUAAACUAAAUAGCUAUUCAUAAAUUACAUUUGUUUGUUAAUGAAAUUUAUGGAAAAAAUAAAUAACAAACUGCACUCGGAGAAAUGUGUGUGGAAUAGAUACUGGACAGGGGUUCGACUCCCCUCAUCUCCACCA